CGGGACACGUGGUAUCCUGUCUGAAUAUGGGGGGACCAUCCUCCAAGGCUAAAUACUCCUGACUGACCGAUAGUGAACCAGUACCGUGAGGGAAAGGCGAAAAGAACCCCGGCGAGGGGAGUGAAAAAGAACCUGAAACCGUGUACGUACAAGCAGUGGGAGCCUCUUAAUGGGGUGACUGCGUACCUUUUGUAUAAUGGGUCAGCGACUUAUAUUCUGUAGCAAGGUUAACCGAAUAGGGGAGCCGAAGGGAAACCGAGUCUUAACUGGGCGUUAAGUUGCAGGGUAUAGACCCGAAACCCGGUGAUCUAGCCAUGGGCAGGUUGAAGGUUGGGUAACACUAACUGGAGGACCGAACCGACUAAUGUUGAAAAAUUAGCGGAUGACUUGUGGCUGGGGGUGAAAGGCCAAUCAAACCGGGAGAUAGCUGGUUCUCCCCGAAAGCUAUUUAGGUAGCGCCUCGUGAAUUCAUCUCCGGGGGUAGAGCACUGUUUCGGCAAGGGGGUCAUCCCGACUUACCAACCCGAUGCAAACUGCGAAUACCGGAGAAUGUUAUCACGGGAGACACACGGCGGGUGCUAACGUCCGUCGUGAAGAGGGAAACAACCCAGACCGCCAGCUAAGGUCCCAAAGUCAUGGUUAAGUGGGAAACGAUGUGGGAAGGCCCAGACAGCCAGGAUGUUGGCUUAGAAGCAGCCAUCAUUUAAAGAAAGCGUAAUAGCUCACUGGUCGAGUCGGCCUGCGCGGAAGAUGUAACGGGGCUAAACCAUGCAC
rnacentral:rRNA from 1 species